rnacentral:rRNA from 1 species
UACGAAGGGGGCGAGCGUUGUUCGGAUUUACUGGGCGUAAAGGGCGCGCAGGCGGCUCAUUUUGUCAGGCGUGAAAGCCCCGGGCUUAACCUGGGAACUGCGUUUGAUACGGAUGGGCUAGAGUUCGGGAGAGGAGAGUGGAAUUCCCAGUGUAGAGGUGAAAUUCGUAGAUAUUGGGAAGAACACCAGUGGCGAAGGCGGCUCUCUGGACCGAUACUGACGCUGAGGCGCGAAAGCGUGGGGAGCAAACAGG